rnacentral:rRNA from 1 species
AAAAACAUCGCCUUUAGCCACAACAAGUAUUAAAGGUCCCGCCUGCCCAGUGAGUAACACUUUAACGGCCGCGGUAUCCUAACCGUGCAAAGGUAGCGCAAUCACUUGUCCCCUAAAUAGGGACCAGUAUGAACGGCUAACUGAGGGUAUAACUGUCUCCUAGGGCCAAUCAAUGAAACUGAUCUACCAGUACAAAAGCUGGUAUACCCCCACAAGACGAGAAGACCCUGUGGAACUUUAAACUCCCCCGCUAUCAUGCCCCGCCACCAAUAUGGCUAAAACAACAUGACAUACCGGCCAUUUUAAGUUGGGGCGACUACGGGGUAAAACAAAACCCCCAUGAAACACGGCUCCCCGCCCUUUGAGGCCAACACGCCAACGAGCCCACCACACCUGACCCAGACCAAGCUGAUCAACGAACCAAGUUACCCCAGGGAUAACAGCGCUAUCCCCCUCAAGAGUCCAUAUCGCCAGUGGGGUUUACGACCUCGAUGUUGGAUCAGGACACCCCAGUGGUGCAGCCGCUACUAAAGGCCCGUUUGUUCAACGGCUAAUGUCCUACGUGAUCUGAG